CCUACGGGGGGCAGCAGUGGGGAAUAUUGGACAAUGGGGGGAACCCUGAUCCAGCGACGCCGCGUGAGUGAAGAAGUAUUUCGGUAUGUAAAGCUCUAUCAGCAGGGAAGAAAGAAAUGACGGUACCUGACGAAGAAGCCCCGGCUAACUACGUACCAGCAGCCGCGGUAAUACGUAGGGGGCAAGCGUUAUACGGAUUUACUGGGUGUAAAGGGUGCGUAUACGGCGAGGCAAGUCUGAAGUGAAAGGCGGGGGCUCAACCCCCGGACUGCUUUGGAAACUGGAUGGCUUGAGUUCAGGAGAGGUAAGUGGAAUUCCUAGUGUAGCGGUGAAAUGCGUAGAUAUUAGGAGGAACACCAGUGGUGAAGGCGGCUUACUGGACUGUAACUGACGUUGAGGCUCGAAAGCGUGGGGAGCAAACAGGAUUAGAUACCCGUGUAGUC
rnacentral:rRNA from 1 species